GGAGGAGUGGCAGAGUGGUCGAAUGCACCGGUCUUGAAAACCGACGGGCGUGAAAGCGUCCCCAGGGUUCGAAUCCCUGUUCCUCCGCCA
rnacentral:tRNA from 4 species